AUACGUAGGGUGCGAGCGUUGUCCGGAAUUACUGGGCGUAAAGAGCUCGUAGGUGGUUUGUCGCGUCGUCUGUGAAAUUCCGGGGCUUAACUCCGGGCGCGCAGGCGAUACGGGCAUAACUUGAGUACUGUAGGGGAGACUGGAAUUCCUGGUGUAGCGGUGAAAUGCGCAGAUAUCAGGAGAAACACCGGUGGCGAAGGCGGGUCUCUGGGCAGUAACUGACGCUGAGGAGCGAAAGCAUGGGUAGCGAACAGGAUUAGAUACCCUGGUAGUCCAUGCCGUAAACGGUGGGCGCUAGGUGUAGGGGUCUUCCACGACUUCUGUGCCGUAGCUAACGCAUUAAGCGCCCCGCCUGGGGAGUACGGCCGCAAGGCUAAAACUCAAAUGAAUUGACGGGG
rnacentral:rRNA from 1 species